UCAUUAUCGAAUAAACUUGAUCAGGCUGUNGCUGGCCCCCCGGGGNAUGUGCACGCUUGUCAUCUUUAUCAUUUCUCCAACUGUGCACAUAUUGUAGACCUGUUUAUUUUUUGAAGAAAUUCAAGUUGGGGGACUGCUGUGCUUCCAAAAGUCGGCUUUCCCUUGUAUUUUUCAGGUCUAUGUCAUUUUUCACAACCUCUAGAAUGCGUUUAGAAUGUUGAAUCAUAUAUAAAGUUAAUAAAUACAACUUUCAGCAACGGAUCUCUUGGCUCUCGCAUCGAUGAAGAACGCAGCGAAAUGCGAUAAGUAAUGUGAAUUGCAGAAUUCAGUGAAUCAUCGAAUCUUUGAACGCAUCUUGCGCUCCUUGGUAUUCCGAGGAGCAUGCCUGUUUGAGUGUCAUUUGACUUCUCUCAACCACAUCGUCUUUUCAAUGUGGCUUGGAUGUGGGGGAAUUUCUUUGCAGGCUUUUUUUAAUUAAGAAGCCGGCUCCCCUGAAAUGCAUUAGUGGUGUACUGAGCUGCUAUUGGUGUGAUAAAUCUAUCUAUGCCUUUGGUGAUGCUGGUCAGCGCUGCUUAUUAACAAGACAAAGUUCAUUUUGACAAAUUUGACCUC
rnacentral:rRNA from 1 species